rnacentral:lncRNA from 1 species
ACAAAAGAAUAUUUCCUUAUUUAGCCCAAUUGGUGUAUGGUGUGCAUGCAUGAAAAUAUAUGUUUUUUGGUCAUAAAAAGCAUGGAAAGAAAGGUGGCAUGCAUGUGGGAAAGUCAUGAAGCAAGCAAAAGACAAAACAAUACUUAAACUCAAUGACCUUCAUAAUGUUUGGGAUUAGGGAUUAGCAAUGUUCAAGCCAACAUAACACUAUGGUUCCU